rnacentral:lncRNA from 1 species
UGGCAGUUGCCUGUGGAAAAUGCUUGGCAGCGACCUUGGGGGGUUCCAUAGCUGGCAAACUCUAUGGAUGCUAUUAUAUAACCAUCUUCACACUGCAUUUCCAUUACCGGUUCCAUCUCGCCUGCUGCUGUAUUUGCGUGGGACCACAUGCUGACGGGCGGAUAAUAAUCCUCAGACACAUGGGCACAGACGGUUCCAACAGAUACUGUCUUGACAGAAAUUUCAAAUGGGUUUCCUCCUGUCUCUUCAAAUAGCACAAGUAGAUUGUCUGAUGGACGUAACCAUGAUCUUGGUACAUGAUCUGAGUAGGCUUGCCACAAUUUGUUUGACAUUUAUCUGAAUUAUAAGAUCCCCGAUAAUCACAAGUUUCUUGACAUCCAUCUUCUGGGGCAGCAAGAGUCCAGUAUCUUCCUAUAUGAUGCCCGUUGACCCAAGCUUCACCUUUACCCAUACUGCU